CUGAACAUUGAGCCUUGAUGUGUAGGAUAGGUGGGAGGCUUUGAAGUGUGGACGCCAGUCUGCAUGGAGCCGACCUUGAAAUACCACCCUUUAAUGUUUGAUGUUCUAACGUUGACCCGUAAUCCGGGUUGCGGACAGUGUCUGGUGGGUAGUUUGACUGGGGCGGUCUCCUCCUAAAGAGUAACGGAGGAGCACGAAGGUUGGCUAAUCCUGGUCGGACAUCAGGAGGUUAGUGCAAUGGCAUAAGCCAGCUUGACUGCGAGCGUGACGGCGCGAGCAGGUGCGAAAGCAGGUCAUAGUGAUCCGGUGGUUCUGAAUGGAAGGGCCAUCGCUCAACGGAUAAAAGGUACUCCGGGGAUAACAGGCUGAUACCGCCCAAGAGUUCAUAUCGACGGCGGUGUUUGGCACCUCGAUGUCGGCUCAUCACAUCCUGGGGCUGAAGUAGGUCCCAAGGGUAUGGCUGUUCGCCAUUUAAAGUGGUACGCGAGCUGGGUUUAGAACGUCGUGAGACAGUUCGGUCCCUAUCUGCCGUGGGCGCUGGAGAACUGAGGGGGGCUGCUCCUAGUACGAGAGGACCGGAGUGGACGCAUCACUGGUGUUCGGGUUGUCAUGCCAAUGGCACUGCCCGGUAGCUAAAUGCGGAAGAGAUAAGUGCUGAAAGCAUCUAAGCACGAAACUUGCCCCGAGAUGAGUUCUCCCUGACUCCUUGAGAGUCCUGAAGGAACGUUGAAGACGACGACGUUGAUAGGCCGGGUGUGUAAGCGCAGCGAUGCGUUGAGCUAACCGGUACUAAUGAACCGUGAGG
rnacentral:rRNA from 1 species